ACCCAUAAAAGAAUGUGGGAGAAUGAAGUGUAAGGACCUAGGAAGGAAGUUCAUACUCAUAAAAGAGAAAUCUGCAGUCUGGAGCUCAAGGACGUGAAGCAAUCUUUAAUGUGCUUCAGGGAAUAGAGGAAUUUGGCUGGAGUAUGUGGAAUGUUUACACACUGCUGGUUCGAGUGAAGGUGAUUCUCCUGGCAGAAGGAGGCUGGGAGAAGGAGGUGGCAGUCCAGUGGGUGUCCUUCCUGAGGUGGUUCCAGUCAGAUGGCCAACAUGGUAAAAAGAGCUGAUGCUGUGGAAAGGAAGAUCGGACAGAGGAUGCAGCUAAGAGUCAUCAAAGUCCAGUGGCAAGACAAAAAUGAAGAUGACAGAUGAUGGCCUGGAGUGCACUGGGUGACGUUGGCAUCUUCGACAUCUGACUAAGCUCUAAGUGCCCCAUAGUGCCUGCUUCUACUGCUUUUAUAUCCUGUUGGAAGAAAUUGUUCACAUCCACCCAUUCUGCUGGAGAAGUCUUCACAUGUUUGCGGUAGAUAGCCCCCUAACUCACCAACAGGUUGACAUUUAUGUAGCAUUUACUAUAUUCCAGUCACUGGGAGAAGAACUUUACAAUUAUCUCAUCUGAUCCUCACAACAACCCUUUAUUAUUAUCUCC